rnacentral:lncRNA from 1 species
AUGCAGAAUUCCAGGCCCCAUCCACAACCUACUUCAUUUGAACAGGAUCCCGGUGAUUCCGGCACACCUCACAAUGUGAGAGAAGCUCUGGCCUGGCCUCUGGAUCUCAAAGGUCCUCUUUCCAGUCAUGAAAUUGUCCGACCUCCGUUCUUAGGACAGGGGAGAGAAUGUGUCGAAGCUUGGGGCAGCCUUGUUACCUGCUGUGGGGAGAAAAGCAAGAGGAAAUGGAGGCUCGUUGCUCAGCUAGAUGCACUCCCCAAACCAAGCCACAACUUUCAUUUCCACGCAAGGGAUUUUCAGUACAACUUGGUAUUGGGAGAUGAUCAACUCUGUACUAAAUCACGGACAGGAAAACAAUAGUCAGGUUUCCUCUCACCACUAUGCUCUACCAUCCAGCCACACAGUUCAAUAUUUCUUUUCAAAAGGGAUGGAGUAAGUUGCUGAUCAUGUUAUCUUGAAGGAACCGAAAGAGCUUGUAUUACAUAUCCAACACAUUGCUUCUUCGGUUUAUCUCAGAUUUUUCCUCUGCUUUUGCAAUAAACAAUCCACAAAAUCAGCUGUUUUUGCUGUG